rnacentral:rRNA from 1 species
GACGAACGCUGGCGGCGUGCUUAACACAUGCAAGUCGAACGGAAAGGCCCUGCUUUUGUGGGGUGCUCGAGUGGCGAACGGGUGAGUAACACGUGAGUAACCUGCCCUUGACUUUGGGAUAACUUCAGGAAACUGGGGCUAAUACCGGAUAGGAGCUCCUGCUGCAUGGUGGGGGUUGGAAAGUUUCGGCGGUUGGGGAUGGACUCGCGGCUUAUCAGCUUGUUGGUGGGGUAGUGGCUUACCAAGGCUUUGACGGGUAGCCGGCCUGAGAGGGUGACCGGCCACAUUAGGACUGAGAUACGGCACAGACUCCUACGGGAGGCAGCAGUGGGGAAUAUUGCACAAUGGGCGGAAGCCUGAUGCAGCAACGCCGCGUGCGGGAUGACGGCCUUCGGGUUGUAAACCGCUUUCGCCUGUGACGAAGCGUGAGUGACGGUAAUGGGUAAAGAAGCACCGGCUAACUACGUG